ensembl:lncRNA
CCGAGCUGCCCUGUAAGCUUUCAGCUCUGGAAACAAUGGAUUCACAAAACUUCUGGAAAAAAUGUCCUACAUCUGGUUAGUGUGCAUCACAGUUCUAUAACAAUAACGCUUUGUUGGAAGGCACAGUGCUAAAAACUAGGAUGCGAGCAGAGAAGAAACAUCAAAGUGAUACUGUGGAGAGGAUUUUGGUGUAAAGUAAAGCAAGGAUCCAAGAAGUAUAAAACCUUCAAGCAGGGAGAGGAUAAGGAUGGAUAUCACCGGGACUAUCAGGAAGCAGAAGAUAAAAGAAGUUCAAGCUUUACACUUUGUAGGUGGAGCUUCAGAUCCUGAAGGGAAAAUGCCAGGCUUCUCAUGUUGAAGUAAUGGGUUUUCAUGACUGUAGACUGCAACAAGGCACACGUCUUGGCAGAUUUUAUUUAUGGGCAGUUUUGGUCAGACCAUGCCCGUGUGGAUGCCCGUAUGUCCUUCAAGGUUGAUCUGUAAGCACGUUGACGACGUUCAACUAAAUGAAAAAGGAUUGAAAUCUCAACAGUAAAGUUGUACGUGUUUUCUGGAGAUUGAUGUGGAGGGGCAAAACGGAGUCCGUUGGCCAGCACCAAAACAGCAG